rnacentral:rRNA from 1 species
GGCGUGCCUAACACAUGCAAGUCGAACGAAGUUACUUGCUUAGAUCUCUUCGGAGUGACGAGCUUUUAACUUAGUGGCGGACGGGUGAGUAACACGUGAGCAACCUGCCUUUCAGAGGGGGAUAACGGCUGGAAGCGGUCGCUAAUACCGCAUGACAUAUUGAAUCGGCAUCGGUUUAAUAUCAAAGGAGCAAUCCGCUGAAAGAUGGGCUCGCGUCUGAUUAGAUAGUUGGUGGGGUAACGGCCUACCAAGUCGACGAUCAGUAGCCGGACUGAGAGGUUGAACGGCCACAUUGGGACUGAGAUACGGCCCAGACUCCUACGGGAGGCAGCAGUGGGGAGUAUUGCACAAUGGGGGAAACCCUGAUGCAGCAACGCCGCGUGAAGGAAGAUGGUUUUCGGAUUGUAAACUUCUUUUCUUAGUGAAGAAGCAAGUGACGGUAGCUAAGGAAUAAGCAUCGGCUAACUACGUGCCAGCAGCCGCGGUAAUACGUAGGAUGCGAGCGUUAUCCGGAAUUACUGGGUGUAAAGGGAGCGCAGGCGGGACUGCAAGUUGGAUGUGAAAUACCGCAGCUCAACUGCGGAGCUGCAUCCAAAACUGUAGUUCUUGAGUGGAGUAGAGGCAAGCGGAAUUCCGAGUGUAGCGGUGAAAUGCGUAGAUAUUCGGAGGAACACCAGUGGCGAAGGCGGCUUGCUGGGCUCUAACUGACGCUGAGGCUCGAAAGUGCGGGGAGCAAACAGGAUUAGAUACCCUGGUAGUCCACACUGUAAACGAUGAUAGCUAGGUGUGGGGGGUCUGACCCCUUCCGUGCCGGAGUUAACGCAAUAAGCUAUCCACCUGGGGAGUACGGCCGCAAGGUUGCAACUCAAAUGAAUUGACGGA